rnacentral:lncRNA from 1 species
UCGUCAAUAUUCUUUGGCUCAAUCAAUGAUACAUAACAUGCAAAUUCACAUUGUAGCUGACUUCUUGUUCGCACACCAACAUUAGGAUCCCCAAUUACGUUCGAUAAAGGAUGAUCUCUUGUUUCUGUUAGGGAUGUAGUCUCGGGAGUUACGCUAGGGAUUUCAGAUGAAGUUCUUUGAGGCUCAGAUGAAUCAUUUGAUGCAACAUUUUCAGAAG